UCCUCUGCGGCACUGCUCUGCUGCCUCCGUUCGUCAUGGUUCCUUGCCUGCUCCCUUCCUCCUGGGCGUUCUGUUCCUCACGGUAUUUAGCCUUGCCACCUCCGAUUUGUCCAUGUGCAGGUUUAUGCUUUCUGUUCUGCAUUCCCUUUCCACGAGUUCUUGCCUUCAACGCUGAGCUGAAAUGGCUCUUCCCAUACUUGUCUGUAAGCUAUUUGAUGAAAUGCGGUACUUUUUCUUCAGUUUUAUUCCUAUUGCCGAGUCUUACUCCUCUUGUUGAUCUUGCCUGCUUUUCUCGUCGGUCUCGCAUUUGUAGCUCAGGUGAAUGGCCUCUCGACUAAAGAAGACAGUUAUUUCUAUGCCUAAAUGUUUUUUGUUGGUAGAAGAAUCCGUAGGGAAGAAAGAAAUAAAAUUUAUGUGAAUGCCAAGUUUGGAUUUGCAGCGAUCAAAUGGAGCAUGCCAAUGCAUACUAUAGCAGCCAUAUACAUCAUCUUGCUUUCAGAUUUUGAACUACUUCAUAGUUACCGAAUAACCAAACAGUAAAACAUGCAAAAAAAAAAGUCUUUCAUUUGUUUUGAUCCUGCAGCCCUACUGCUCCUAAUAAUUUAUUGAAUGAAGGAGCCCAAAUCCGAUGACCAUGCCUCCACCUCUCCUUCCUUGAAUGAAGGAGUCUGAUUGCUAAAAAGAGAGUUUUAAUCAGUAUAUAUGACCUCUGCACAUGUCCUUUCUUCGUAUUUAAGAGGCCUUCAUGCUUUGUUAGUUUUCUGAUAGAUAUGGAAUUUUAAUUUGAUAGUCCCAACAACAGUGGGUGCCAAUGGAGUUAUCUACUAAUAAUUUAUUGUCAAUCUGACAUACUUUUGUCACCUUCUAUCAUGUUUUAAGCUCUAUGAAUGAAUGAUCGGUGCCAUGUUUUUCUUCUUCAUUUUCAUGUGGAAGUAUUUGAUAUAUCCUGGGUAUGGAUGAUUUAUUUGCAGAAUGUCCCAGAAUUUGUGAAUCUCAGUGUACAAGAAUAGAUUUUUGUUCUGUACAUGAGGUCUAACCAGACCUAUAGUUUUUUUUGGUUUUGUUUUUUUGCCCUGCUGUUUCGUUUGGUGAUCCUUCUUGUUCAUAUAAACAGGCCCACAGUUACCUUCUUUCUUAUCCAUGUACAAGCAAUGGGAUAUAUAGCUGGUGAAGAGGCCAUUGCCCGCCUGUGGAGCUUGAGAAGUUCAUAUGGAAUAUGCAAUUUUGUUAAAAAAAAUUAGUUAUGUUCUGUUGGAAUUUGGUCACAUUUCUUUUCUGAAAGAAUGUGUAAUUGUCUAAUACAUUUGUGAAACAAAAGUUAGUUUUAUAUACUAGAGAGGAUGGUUUCAGAAAUUAUGGGCAGUAAUCAACUGUGUGUUACAGGAGAUUUGUUUAAUUACAUAUAUGCUCUGGUCUGAAGAGAUUAG
rnacentral:lncRNA from 1 species